GCUUAGAGAGGGGUCAAUGUCCUAUCAGCUAGUUGGUAGGGUAAUGGCCUACCAAGGCGAAGACGGGUAGCCGGCCUGAGAGGGUGGUCGGCCACACUGGGACUGAGACACUGCCCAGACUCCUACGGGAGGCUGCAGUCGAGAAUCUUUCGCAAUGCCCGAAAGGGUGACGAAGCGACGCCGCGUGUGGGAAGAAGGCCUUCGGGUUGUAAACCACUGUCGGGAGUUAGGAAAUGUAAGGGUGCUAAUAGUACCCUUACUUGACUAAGGCUCCGGAGGAAGCCACGGCUAACUCUGUGCCAGCAGCCGCGGUAAUACAGAGGCGGCAAGCGUUGUUCGGAAUUAUUGGGCGUAAAGAGCACGUAGGCGGCUUUGUAAGUCAGUUGUGAAAGCCUUCUGCUUAACGGAAGAACAGCAUCUGAUACUGCAAGGCUAGAGUGCGGAAGGG
rnacentral:rRNA from 1 species